GUCCGUAAGAGAGGUGAUUUAAAGAAAAAUAGUUUGAAGGCAAAAUUGUUCUUACGCAAGCAUGGGAAUUGUUUCUCAACUUUCGCUCGAGGUCAGGCAUAUUGACCUUUGAAGAAUGCAUAAGCCAUAAAUUAAAAUGAAGUAGGCUACUCAUCCAAAGCUGAUCCAUUUAGAGACAAUAAGCAACUUGGAAAAGCAGACUCCUUUUAGUCUCCCAGCUUGAAAAAAAAAGGUGCUUUGAAACACUGCAUUCAGACUGAAAGACCUUCUGCCCGUGGAUUUGGGGAGGAACUUGUGGUUUUGUGCAAGCAAAGAGCAUUUCCUAACUGGAUCCGGCGAGCAGAUACCGACAGAUCGCAGACGAACGCUUAUGGUGCCAGUAAUUUUCAUGAAUUCAAAAUCAACUCACCAGUGAUCUUUGGGAGCUGGGGAUAAAGUCUUUCUGUUUAUGUAAGUACAAACUGUAUAUUUUGGUUUAUGCAUCUUGUCCAACA
rnacentral:lncRNA from 1 species